rnacentral:rRNA from 1 species
AUUGAACGCUGGCGGCAGGCCUAACACAUGCAAGUCGAACGAGUGGCGGACGGGUGAGUAAUGUCUGGGAAACUGCCUGCUGGAGGGGGAUAACUAGUGGAAACGGUAGCUAAUACCGCAUACCAUCGGAUGUGCCCAUAUGGGAUUUGCUAGUGGGUGGGGUAACGGCUCACCUAGGCGACGAUCCCUAGCUGGUCUGAGAGGAUGACCAGCCAACCUGGAACUAAGACACGGUCCAGACUCCGACGUGAGGCAGCAGUGGGGAAUAUUGCACAAUGGGCGCAAGCCUGAUGCAGGCAUGCCGCGUGUAUGAAGAAGGCCUUCGGGUUGUAAAGUACUUUCAGCGGGGAGGCGUUACCCGCAGAAGAAGCACCGGCUAACUCCGUGCCAGCCGCCGCGGUAAUAC